AGAGUUUGAUCCGGCUCAGGACGAACGCUAGGCGGCUGGUGCCUAAUACAUGCAAGUCGAACGAACUCUGGUAUUGAUUGGUGCUUGCAUCAUGAUUUACAUUUGAGUGAGUGGCGAACUGGUGAGUAACACGCUGGGAAACCUGCCCAGAAGCGGGGGAUAACACCUGGAAACGAGAUUGCUAGCGAUACCGACUUCAUGUAGACAACUUGGACCGCAUGGUCCGAGCUUGAAAGAUGGCUUCGGCUAUCACUUUUGGAUGGUCCCGCGGCGUAUUAGCUAGAUCGUGGGGUAACGGCUCACCAUGGCAAUGAUACGUAGCCGACCUGAGAGGGUAAUCGGCCACAUUGGGACUGACGACACGGCCCAAACUCCUACGGGAGGCAGCAGUAGGGAAUCUCUCCACAAUGGACGAAASUCUGAUGGAGCAACGCCGCGUGAGUGAAKAAGGGUUUCGGCUCGUAAAACUCUGUUGUUAAAGAAGAACAUAUCAUGAGAGUAACUGACUUCAGGUAUGCAUGACCGGUAUCCAUUAACCAGAAAGCCACGGCUAAUCUACGUGCCAGCAGCCGCGGUAAUACGUCAAGACGUGGCAAGCGUUGUCCGGAUUUAUUGGGCGUAAAGCAGAUGCGCAGGCGGUUUUUUAAGUCUGAUGUGAAAGCCUUCGAGUCUCAACCUUGAAGAAGUACGCAUCAGGCGAAACUGCGGAAAGCUUGAGCUGCAGAAGAGGACAGUGGAAACCCUCCAAUGUGUAGCGGUGAAAUGCGUAGAUAUAUGGUAAGAACUACCAGGGUGGCGAAGGCGGCUGUCUGGUACUGUAACUGACGCUGAGGCUCGAAAGUAUGGGUAGCAAACAGGAUUAGAUACCCUCGGUAGUCCAUACCGUAAACGAUGAAUGCUAAGUGUUGGAGGGUUUCCGCCCUUCAGUGCUGCAGCUAACGCAUUAAGCAUUCCGCCUGGGGAGUACGGCCGCAAGGCUGAAACUCAAAGGAAUUGACGGGGGCCCGCACAAGCGGUGGAGCAUGUGGUUUAAUUCGAAGCUACGCGAAGAACCUUACCAGGUCUUGACAUACUAUGCAAAUCUAAGAGAUUAGACGUUCCCUUCGGGGACAUGGAUACAGGUGGUGCAUGGUUGUCGUCAGCUCGUGUCGUGAGAUGUUGGGUUAAGUCCCGCAACGAGCGCAACCCUUAUUAUCAGUUGCCAGCAUUAAGUUGGGCACUCUGGUGAGACUGCCGGUGACAAACCGGAGGAAGGUGGGGAUGACGUCAAAUCAUCAUGCCCCUUAUGACCUGGGCUACACACGUGCUACAAUGGAUGGUACAACGAGUUGCGAACUCGCGAGAGUAAGCUAAUCUCUUAAAGCCAUUCUCAGUUCGGAUUGUAGGCUGCAACUCGCCUACAUGAAGUCGGAAUCGCUAGUAAUCGCGGAUCAGCAUGCCGCGGUGAAUACGUUCCCGGGCCUUGUACACACCGCCCGUCACACCAUGAGAGUUUGUAACACCCAAAGUCGGUGGGGUAACCUUUUAGGAACCAGCCGCCUAAGGUGGGACAGAUGAUUAGGGUGAAGUCGUAACAAGGUAA
rnacentral:rRNA from 2 species